rnacentral:lncRNA from 1 species
GCCUCCCGACAGGCCUGUGUGGCCGGUGGCGGGCGGGCCGUUACCUCCCGCGCAUGCUCUAUGGGGUAGAGACGCUAGGCCGGCACUGCCUAGGUGGGCCGGGCGGUGCGAGGGUCGCCUUUCAGCCUUUACCUCUACCCACUGAAAUGGAGUAGGUCGGUGAGCGCCGAUCUGCUGGAGAAUCUCAUUAUCCCAUCGGCGCUCUGCCUGCUCCUGGCCUCCAAGCCUCUGAAGCCCCUCGGGUUUCAGCUGCCGGCUACCCUCGAGCCCGUGGUGCCCACGAGAGAGGCGACUUUACGUCAGCGGCCCUGGGCUGAGAUUUGAGAACGCGACCAAGUGGAGAAUGUUGGAGCCAGAUUUUAAAAUCCUUGUCUUCCUUCUGCGUGCUACUUGAUCUAAAUGAGAUACGGCAAAGUCACAGAACCUGUUUUUAUGUUUUUGCCUGAUUCAUACGGGCUUCUCCGGUGAAGAUGGGCCUGAAGUAACGCUUGGGUUGCUUCUGACGUUAUAACUCAUCCUGUAGCUGCAGCAACCGUGGUCCUUGCAACCUCAUAAAAAUGUUGCCAGCAUUGUUUCGAUAGUGCUGCUUAAUUCUUGGAAGGUUCUUCGGACUUCACACAUUCCAGCAGUAGCUCUCUCAGCUCCUGUCCUGCACAGCUUUGAAGUGCUGGUGAUGUCAUUGAACUCUUAAGUGCAAGAUGAAACAAGUCUUUCUGGGGUUCUAAGUAGUUAACCAACAGGACACAGCCCUGGUGAUGGCUUUCUGAGGAUGACACGAUGGAGGCUUCUCCAAUAGCUCUAAAACUGCGGUGUGGAAAACAUUCGGCAGCCUCAAAGAGCGGUCUUGUUGACCCCAACUAUAUCAUUUUUCAUCAAAAUCAUUCUUGUAAAGAAUGACCAGGCAACACUCUUUGAAAAUUGGAGGCCAUUUGCAGCUGCUCUCUGUUGAGGAAAGUGAAUAAUAGGGUGCCCUCAAGGAAUUGCAAAGGUAUCACUCAACAGAAACUUUCGUGUCUGAAGAAAACUAGAUCAUUUUAUCAUGGUAGGCAUGCUGAUAUGUUUGCUUUAAUAAAAUGCCAUAUUUCUGCCUUUAAUCUCUUGUCAACCCGCUAUUAAAAAGCCCCAAAGUGCAUGUGUGCAGCGCAUGUAAACACUUGUGGUUUUGAGGUUACCACAGAACAUACUAAUAAAGCAUGUAAUUUGUGUUUUGUGCA